UACAGAGGGUGCGAGCGUUAAUCGGAAUUACUGGGCGUAAAGCGUGCGUAGACGGUUAUUUAAGUCGGAUGUGAAAGCCCCGGGCUCAACCUGGGAAUUGCAUUCGAGACUGAAUAGCUAGGGUACGGUAGAGGGAAGUGGAAUUUCCGGUGUAGCGGUGAAAUGCGCGGAUAUCAGGAGGAACACCUAUUGCGAAGGCAGCUCGCUGGGACGUAACUGACGCUGAGACGCGAAAGCGUGGGGAGCAAACAGG
rnacentral:rRNA from 1 species